AAAAAAAAAAAAACGAAACGAAAUAAAUAAAAAGGGAUCUCCGGAUAAACGAACGGAAACGCGAAAUCCCCGUGCUUCCCGUUCGCCGCCGUGACGACGAUAGGAAACGAUGUCGUUAAGAUCCACUCGAAAAUCGGACCGUCCUCACCUAACCUAACCGUCCGUAUAAUAAUAUAAUAUAGUCUCGGCGAUACGCAGUUUUUCUACCCUCCUUGUCUCCUGCCCGUGAUAUCGCGCGAUUCACUUAGCGGUUCGCGUGGUACACGAAAUUGCCCGUUAAGGACGAUCCCUCCGCGCGACCUUGUAAAAUAGAAAUACCGAGAAUUAUUACGAGCAUAGCGGAGAUUCGCGUUACCGGCCUAGCGUCGAGAACGGGGAAAAUAAAUUCGUCGUCGACACUGUUAAAUUGUGUUCGGAUGGCGAAAUAAUAACGGAAUGUUCAAUUCGGUUGUUUCAGAAAAAAAAAAAAAAAAACAAAAAUCGGAAUUCGGAAUGUAAAAUGGUUUCCGUACGCCGGGUGCCCCACGAACGCCCGUACACCCGUUUCGAUGUUACCGGAAGUAUUUCUUUGUUGAAAAUGUAUACAUUUUUUUUUUUUGAAAAAUUACAAAAUCCAGCAGCUUUAAAAUGUCACGUUCCCGUUAUUUUCUGUCGCCGUUGCUUUUUGAGGGGCGGCGGGCAACGCAAAUGCCAUAUACAAACGCGUAACGUUAGUUCAAACACACUUUGGUGUUAACGCGUUCGAUUUCCGUCGCCCCGUCCGUUCCACUUUCAAGACAGUGGGAGACAGUGAGCGGACGGCUAUUGAAACGGCGCACAACCGAUAACCGGACUUCAGUUUCUCGUCACCGGAUUGGGUUAGGUCCGAGAUGGCACUAGCGGGUAUGUGUUCGUGGAAC